GGUUUGAGCUCAGUGAUGUCGAUCCACUGGCAGUCGAUGUCGUGUCUGAAAUCUGAGAGAUAUAGAACCAAGACAAAGAGCUGAAAGACGACAGAAUCCUCCUCAGAUCUGAGAGAAACUUCAGAUUCUUCUUUAACAUCUUCAGUCAUUCUGAUGUUUCUCACUUGAGGCUGAAGUUUGUGAGCGGAUGAGAAAGUGAAAGGAUUUCAUUAACUCGCUGAAGGGCGUUUCAUCACCGGACUGAAAAUCUGCAGGUGAAUUUCUCGACCGGCUGCUCCAGAAACACAUGAAACGCCGUUUUAAUCAUCUUAUAAUUAAUUAAUUCAUCAAGCGAAGUUAUUAAACUUAUCAGACUGCUUCAUCUUGACGGCAUGAAACCAGACAAGGGCAGUGGCAUCAGCCGGCUGCAUAAUUAAUACUUAAAGCGAAAAGGUUGGCGAACAGCUGGAGAGUUCACAGUCUUCCAUGUGAUCUUGAACAAACCGAGGUUAAUGACGCUCUUUCAGGCCUGCUGGGCCGCUAAUCUCUUCCUCCACAUUUAUUACUCGCCCUUAUUAUGGAUUUAAUGAGCCUCAUUUGCUGAACGACAUCCUAUCCUUGUGUCUCACGUCUGAGGUGUACCUGAAGAAAACAGGUUAGCGGAGGAAAGGCAGCGUUUGUUUUUCAUUCCGGGGCCGCUGAGUGGGAAGCUCCGGACUGGAAGACAUCCAGCACUCGUGUUUCUGAGCCGCAGCCAGAGGACCGACUCUGCUUAUCUCCUCAAAUGCAAUUGAAAAACUCGGCCUUGAUGCAGAUCUGUACUGAACAAACUGGUCCUGAGGCUCCGAAUCUAAAUGUGGUUUAGUUUCUGCUCAGGUUGUGUUUUCCAGCACUUUUAAUAAACUUGACUUUACAACUACUUGUUGAUUUAAUGAAUAACAUCUUUGUCUAAUGUCUUUGAAUA